rnacentral:rRNA from 1 species
GAUGAACGCUAGCGACAGGCCUAACACAUGCAAGUCGAGGGGCAACGGGGCGUAGCAAUACGCUGCCGGCGACCGGCGGAUGGGUGAGUAACGCGUAUGCAACCUGCCUUCAGCAGGGGGAUAGCCCGUUGAAAGACGGAUUAAUACCCCAUAACACAGGGGCUCCGCAUGGAGAUUAUUGUUAAAGGGAUGCUUCCUUCGGGGGUAUUCCGGCUGAAGAUGGGCAUGCGUUCCAUUAGGUAGUUGGUUGAGGUAACGGCUCACCAAGCCUGCGAUGGAUAGGGGAACUGAGAGGUUGGUCCCCCACACUGGUACUGAGACGCGGACCAGACUCCUACGGGAGGCAGCAGUGAGGAAUCUUGGUCAAUGGACGGAAGUCUGAACCAGCCAUGUCGCGUGAAGGAGGACGGCCCUAAGGGUUGUAAACUUCUUUUGCAGCGGAAUAAAGUAUUCCACGUGAUGGGAUAUUGCAAGUACGCUGCGAAUAAGGAUCGGCUAACU